AUACGUAGGGGACGAGCGUUGUCCGGAAUUACUGGGCGUAAAGGGCGCGCAGGCGGAUAUUUAAGUCAGCUGUAAAAGGCAUGAGCUCAACUCAUGUAUGCGGUUGAAACUGGGUAUCUAGAGUGCUGGAGAGGUAGGCGGAAUUCCCGGUGUAGCGGUGAAAUGCGUAGAUAUCGGGAAGAACACCAGUGGCGAAGGCGGCUUACUGGCCAGCAACUGACGCUGAGGCGCGAAAGCCAGGGGAGCGAACGGGAUUAGAUACCCCGGUAGUCCUGGCAGUAAACGAUGUAUGCUGGGUGUGGGAGUAGCGAUACCUCCGUGCCGAAGUUAACGCGAUAAGCAUACCGCCUGGGGAGUACGGUCGCAAGAUUGAAACUUAAAGGAAUUGGCGGGG
rnacentral:rRNA from 1 species